rnacentral:rRNA from 1 species
GACGAACGCUGGCGGCGUGCUUAACACAUGCAAGUCGAACGGAAAGGCCCUGCGUUUGUGGGGUGCUCGAGUGGCGAACGGGUGAGUAACACGUGAGUAACCUGCCCUUGACUUUGGGAUAACUUCAGGAAACUGGGGCUAAUACCGGAUAGGAGAUCCUGCUGCAUGGUGGGGGUUGGAAAGUUUCGGCGGUGGGGGAUGGACUCGCGGCUUAUCAGCUGGUUGGGGGGGUAGUGGCUUACCAAGGCUUUGACGGGUAGCCGGCCUGGGAGGGUGACCGGCCACAUGGGGACUGAGGUACGGCCCAGACGCCUACGGGAGGCAGUGGUGGGGAAUAUUGCACAAUGGGCGGAAGCCUGAUGCAGCAACGCCGCGUGCGGGAUGCUGGCCUUCGGGGUGUAAACCGCUUUCGCCGGUGCCGAAGCGUGAGUGACGGUAAUGGGUAAAGAAGCACCGGCUAACUACGUG